rnacentral:miRNA from 1 species
AUUAGGUUGGUGCAAAAGUAAUCGCAGUUUUUUACAUUACUUUCAAAGGCAAAAACCGUGAUUACUUUUGGAUCAACCUAAUAG